CAAGUUGAUAGGCCGGGUGUGUAAGCGCAGCGAUGCGUUGAGCUAACCGGUACUAAUGAACCGUGAGGCUUAACCUUACAACGCCGAAG
rnacentral:rRNA from 1 species